GCAUGCGGUAGCCCUGAGAUCCGGGCAGUGUGGACAUUCCUCCACAGUUACUUAGCUGGGUGGUGGAAACAAAAAAUGCACCCUAAUUGGUCAGUCAGUGGCCUUUUCUACGGAAUGAAGGAGGUUUCUGUUUUAAGAAAUAAAGUGACUUCUCGGCUGUUGAUUCACUGCCCACAGGGAGAUUUUUCAGCGGAGGCUUCCUAGCCUCCGUAGAAAUUUGCAUACAACUUCCACUUCCUGCUUCAGAGCCUGUUCUACGGCUUACCUGGGCCUGGACAGGGAGGAGGGAGGCGGGAGCCACCCAAGGUGCAGUGUGAGAAGGAGAGAGCACGACCACCCUGUCGGCCGGUCUGUCUGUGCUUGGUGGUGCUAAGAAACUAGAAUGAACCGAAGCAUUCCUGUGGAGGUUGAUGAAUCAGAACCAUACCCAAGUCAGUUACUGAAACCAAGCCCAGACUAUCCCCUGGAAGAGGGAUCAGAACCACCUGCUCCAAAUCUAAGGAACAUGGCUCCCAACAGCUUGUCUGCGCCCAGAACCCCUCACUGUUCCUCAGGAGAAUUUUCUCAGGCUCAGCCACCCCUGAAACUUUCAAAUCACCUACGGCCUGUGUCCCAGCAGGUCACCUGCCUGCGCACUAAAAUCCUGGAGGAGAGCGAAGACAGCUUCUGGAGGAGACACCCAGACCCGGGCAAAGAUUUUCCCUUGGGCUCCUCCGCAGCCAGCGAGCAUGAGCCCGAGUCUGUGGUUGGAGUCCUCCCUCCGGAGCAUCAGUUUUCAUUUAUGGAAAAACGGAAUCAAUGGCUAGGAUCUCAGCUUUCGGCAGCUUCUCCUGACACUGGCCAUGACUCAGGCAAAUCAGACCAAAGUUUACCUAAUGCCUCAGCAGACUCCUCGGGCAGUAGCCAAGAGACGGUGCAACAGCCGGGGCCCCCCAGGAACCGAGCAGCUCCAGAUCUGCCUACCAUAGACACGGGGUAUGAUUCCCAGCCCCAGGACGUCCUGGGCAUCAGGCAGCUGGAAAGGCCCCUGCCCCUCACCUCCGCGUGUUACCCCCAGGACCUCCCCGGCCCGCUCAGGUCCAGGGAGCUCCCUCGGUUGGAACCUCAGAGGUACCCAGCGUGCGCACAGAUGCUGCCUCCCAACCCUCCCGCACAUGCGCAGUGGAACUGUCAUUACCGUUGUCCUGGAGGCCCCUAUCACCAGGUGCCGUGCUCUCAGUGCCCUUGUGCUCUGCCCGUCAGAACACCUAGCAUCAGUAUGGCAUCUACUCAUGGACUUGUCUACCUCUCCCUCCACAUCAGCAAAGGCGGCCACGACCACCCUCGAGCAGCCUACCAGCAAGUGGUCCAGCCAGCUGUGUGCAGGCAGCCUGUCCCUGGAGCCAGCGUGAGGGGCCCGCACCCUGUGCAGAAGGUCGUCCUGAACUACCCCAGCCCCUGGGACCAAGACCAGAGGCCCGCACAAAGAGACUACUCCUCCCCAGGGCUCCCGAGGGACCAACUGUAUAACCAGCCACCUCAUCGAGCUGGAGUUCCUGAGGAGUCCUUGGAGUGUCCUGCAGAGUUGAGAGCCCUAGGUCCCCAGGCUCCAUCCCCAGCUGCUGUCCCUAGACCCCUUAGUAACCUUCCAGCCAGAGGGACUCUGAAAACAAGCAGUUUGCCAGAAGAAUUACGGAAAGUCUUUAUCACCUAUUCUAUGGACACAGCCAUGGAGGUGGUGAAAUUCGUGAACUUCUUGUUGGUAAAUGGCUUCCAAACUGCAAUUGACAUAUUUGAGGAUAGAAUCCGAGGCAUUGAUAUCAUUAAGUGGAUGGAACGCUACCUUAGAGAUAAGACAGUGAUGAUAAUUGUAGCAAUCAGCCCCAAAUACAAACAGGACGUGGAAGGUGCUGAGUCGCAUCUGGACGAGGAUGAGCAUGGCUUACAUACUAAGUACAUUCAUCGAAUGGUGAGUGGUGAGGAGAGCGCAGCACAGAGGGGCGCUUUCUUCGGUGAAGGCCCGUCCUCCGCUAGAGACCAACCGAAGGUGGCACCGUGAGGGGUGAAGAACCCCAGGCAGGAGUGGGGGAUGUUGGUUCUGGCCCCGGCAACCUUCGGGACUGUGGGCAAGUGACCCCAUCUCUGGGACUCAGUUCCUGUCAGUAGCAAGGGGCGAUUCAUCUGUGAACUCUAACUCCCAGGGCUCUGGAAAACAGUGCUCUGCAGGCUUGGUUGUUCACCAACAAAUGGGCAGUCCCAAGAGGGGCCGGGGACAGGGCUGUGAGGAGAGCGGGCUCCUGCAUCUGUGUCCUAUUCUGUCCCCUGACUUAGACGCAGAGUAUCAGAGUGGAAAGGACGCAUGCCAUUGUGUCACAUGGACUUGGUUCAAAUUCUGCUUCCUCCUGUAUAGUUGGGUGACCGUGGGCCAACUGCCUAAACCUCUCUGUGCCUCUGUGUCCCUCAUCAUACGAUGGGUCGCUUAUACUUACAGUGUUGUUGCGAAGAUUCAAUGAAAUAAUGUCUGUGAAGUGUAUGGCACAUCUCGAUGCUCAGAUCAAGGGAAGGGAUUGUUCUGAGCUCAUGAUAGAUGAGCAGCAGUCCACCACCACACCUGAACCAUGGGGCCUGGCCAAACUAAAGCCAGUGGGAGAAAUUUAUAGGAAGGAUGGCAGAGAUGCUGUGGAGACAGUUCCGCUUCACUAGGACGCUGGACUAGACUUGCAACUUUCAAAUGGUUCUACGGAGUCCCUACUGGGUGCCCAUAGGUGCUGGGGGUCAGGGCGGCUCUGGGCCUCCCACCCCACCUCAGCCAGAGCUGGUUUGCCUUUCUCAGGCUUAUUUGUUUACCAAGGAUUCUGAGAUCUUAAAAAGGCUUGACAUCCACUGGACUAGAACUUGUAAGCUCCAUUCCAACUGAAACAUUCCACAGGCACCUGGAAUGGGCAGAAAGGAUCACAGACUAAGACGGGAGUAUGGGGCAGGACGCUGAAGUGGCCCAGACAGAGUAAGUAAGCGGCGCAAGGCAGGACCCAGGCAGGCCUGAGAUGGGCAGCUUUACCUCAGGGGAAGCUGACUGAAGUCCGGGUCUGUCCUGUGGAUCAGGAGCACAGGAAAAAGGCAGAGUGGGUGGGUGGGUGAGGCUUCCCCAUCUGUCUCCUCUUCUAGCAAGUGCCGACCACUUAUUUGAGAUUAGAACCAACCCAGAGUAAAGGCCAAGGCAGGGUGGUGAAGUCAGAGAAUAAGGCCAAGGAAUAAGGAGCUAAGCAUCCGCCAUUCCAUCCUCUCCCAAUCUGACAGCCCAUGGGCAGGGCCCUGCAAAGGGUCACAGCUGGCUGCUGCAGGUCUGCAUGGCCCCAAAGCACUCCAUGUCCUGUCUGCAUGUCUAGGAGGCUGUCGGUCCGGGGAGCUGACAGCUGGUGUGUGGGAUGGGCUCCCGGUCCCUGCCAGUUCCUGAGGGGACCUGUCAAGCUCUGCUGGUGUGCGGCAAUGCCAGGCAGUAAAACACAGCCCAACCCCAGAGCCUGUCCGACGGUGCCCCGCCAGGAGCCAGAUUGCCUCCAAACUCAGUUUUCUGGGGACAACAAUGUCUUGGGCCCUUCCUUAUCACUGGAGGGGUUGAGGAGGCCAGAUAAGAAGACCUCCAGGCCCCCUCCAGGCAGCAGAAGCCUCUAGAACAGAGGCAAUGAAGAGGUUGCCACAAGUAAUGGCAUCAUCGGGCCAAUGACCUCACAAAAAGCCCGGAUCUGGAAAUAGGAGAGAAAGCAUACACUGCGGCUGUCUGGCCGCCAGCCGGCUGGGCGGCCUAGUGGACAAGCAAAACUUUACGGAUUCAGUGUCCUGGAUGGAAGUCAGAGACUAAAUCCAGUUCUUCCCUUGUAACUUAUAAACGCUGUGCCCUUCCUUUCACGUGUUUUUCCUGGUGAUUGGUGUUUUCACGUUGCACAGUACACGGAUCAUUUUAAACUAC